rnacentral:rRNA from 1 species
GGGUUGUGAGGUUAAGCGACUAAGCGUACACGGUGGAUGCCCUGGCAGUCAGAGGCGAUGAAGGACGUGCUAAUCUGCGAUAAGCGUCGGUAAGGUGAUAUGAACCGUUAUAACCGGCGAUUUCCGAAUGGGGAAACCCAGUGUGAUUCGUCACACUAUCAUUAACUGAAUCCAUAGGUUAAUGAGGCGAACCGGGGGAACUGAAACAUCUAAGUACCCCGAGGAAAAGAAAUCAACCGAGAUUCCCCCAGUAGCGGCGAGCGAACGGGGAGCAGCCCAGAGCCUGAAUCAGUGUGUGUGUUAGUGGAAGCGUCUGGAAAGGCGCGCGAUACAGGGUGACAGCCCCGUACACAAAAAUGCACAUGCUGUGAGCUCGAUGAGUAGGGCGGGACACGUGGUAUCCUGUCUGAAUAUGGGGGGACCAUCCUCCAAGGCUAAAUACUCCUGACUGACCGAUAGUGAACCAGUACCGUGAGGGAAAGGCGAAAAGAACCCCGGCGAGGGGAGUGAAAAAGAACCUGAAACCGUGUACGUACAAGCAGUGGGAGCACAGAGCAAUCUGUGUGACUGCGUACCUUUUGUAUAAUGGGUCAGCGACUUAUAUUCUGUAGCAAGGUUAACCGAAUAGGGGAGCCGAAGGGAAACCGAGUCUUAACUGGGCGUUAAGUUGCAGGGUAUAGACCCGAAACCCGGUGAUCUAGCCAUGGGCAGGUUGAAGGUUGGGUAACACUAACUGGAGGACCGAACCGACUAAUGUUGAAAAAUUAGCGGAUGACUUGUGGCUGGGGGUGAAAGGCCAAUCAAACCGGGAGAUAGCUGGUUCUCCCCGAAAGCUAUUUAGGUAGCGCCUCGUGAAUUCAUCUCCGGGGGUAGAGCACUGUUUCGGCAAGGGGGUCAUCCCGACUUACCAACCCGAUGCAAACUGCGAAUACCGGAGAAUGUUAUCACGGGAGACACACGGCGGGUGCUAACGUCCGUCGUGAAGAGGGAAACAACCCAGACCGCCAGCUAAGGUCCCAAAGUCAUGGUUAAGUGGGAAACGAUGUGGGAAGGCCCAGACAGCCAGGAUGUUGGCUUAGAAGCAGCCAUCAUUUAAAGAAAGCGUAAUAGCUCACUGGUCGAGUCGGCCUGCGCGGAAGAUGUAACGGGGCUAAACCAUGCACCGAAGCUGCGGCAGCGACGCUUAUGCGUUGUUGGGUAGGGGAGCGUUCUGUAAGCCUGCGAAGGUGUGCUGUGAGGCAUGCUGGAGGUAUCAGAAGUGCGAAUGCUGACAUAAGUAACGAUAAAGCGGGUGAAAAGCCCGCUCGCCGGAAGACCAAGGGUUCCUGUCCAACGUUAAUCGGGGCAGGGUGAGUCGACCCCUAAGGCGAGGCCGAAAGGCGUAGUCGAUGGGAAACAGGUUAAUAUUCCUGUACUUGGUGUUACUGCGAAGGGGGGACGGAGAAGGCUAUGUUGGCCGGGCGACGGUUGUCCCGGUUUAAGCGUGUAGGCUGGUUUUCCAGGCAAAUCCGGAAAAUCAAGGCUGAGGCGUGAUGACGAGGCACUACGGUGCUGAAGCAACAAAUGCCCUGCUUCCAGGAAAAGCCUCUAAGCAUCAGGUAACAUCAAAUCGUACCCCAAACCGACACAGGUGGUCAGGUAGAGAAUACCAAGGCGCUUGAGAGAACUCGGGUGAAGGAACUAGGCAAAAUGGUGCCGUAACUUCGGGAGAAGGCACGCUGAUAUGUAGGUGAAGCGACUUGCUCGUGGAGCUGAAAUCAGUCGAAGAUACCAGCUGGCUGCAACUGUUUAUUAAAAACACAGCACUGUGCAAACACGAAAGUGGACGUAUACGGUGUGACGCCUGCCCGGUGCCGGAAGGUUAAUUGAUGGGGUUAGCGCAAGCGAAGCUCUUGAUCGAAGCCCCGGUAAACGGCGGCCGUAACUAUAACGGUCCUAAGGUAGCGAAAUUCCUUGUCGGGUAAGUUCCGACCUGCACGAAUGGCGUAAUGAUGGCCAGGCUGUCUCCACCCGAGACUCAGUGAAAUUGAACUCGCUGUGAAGAUGCAGUGUACCCGCGGCAAGACGGAAAGACCCCGUGAACCUUUACUAUAGCUUGACACUGAACAUUGAGCCUUGAUGUGUAGGAUAGGUGGGAGGCUUUGAAGUGUGGACGCCAGUCUGCAUGGAGCCGACCUUGAAAUACCACCCUUUAAUGUUUGAUGUUCUAACGUUGACCCGUAAUCCGGGUUGCGGACAGUGUCUGGUGGGUAGUUUGACUGGGGCGGUCUCCUCCUAAAGAGUAACGGAGGAGCACGAAGGUUGGCUAAUCCUGGUCGGACAUCAGGAGGUUAGUGCAAUGGCAUAAGCCAGCUUGACUGCGAGCGUGACGGCGCGAGCAGGUGCGAAAGCAGGUCAUAGUGAUCCGGUGGUUCUGAAUGGAAGGGCCAUCGCUCAACGGAUAAAAGGUACUCCGGGGAUAACAGGCUGAUACCGCCCAAGAGUUCAUAUCGACGGCGGUGUUUGGCACCUCGAUGUCGGCUCAUCACAUCCUGGGGCUGAAGUAGGUCCCAAGGGUAUGGCUGUUCGCCAUUUAAAGUGGUACGCGAGCUGGGUUUAGAACGUCGUGAGACAGUUCGGUCCCUAUCUGCCGUGGGCGCUGGAGAACUGAGGGGGGCUGCUCCUAGUACGAGAGGACCGGAGUGGACGCAUCACUGGUGUUCGGGUUGUCAUGCCAAUGGCACUGCCCGGUAGCUAAAUGCGGAAGAGAUAAGUGCUGAAAGCAUCUAAGCACGAAACUUGCCCCGAGAUGAGUUCUCCCUGACUCCUUGAGAGUCCUGAAGGAACGUUGAAGACGACGACGUUGAUAGGCCGGGUGUGUAAGCGCAGCGAUGCGUUGAGCUAACCGGUACUAAUGAACCGUGAGGCUUAACCUUACAACGCCGAAG